UCCUUGUAGAGUGCCCACAGUGACUCAGGGCUGAGUCUGUUACUGCUUAGACCAUUAGAAUAGGGCAGAAACAAUGCCCUGCCGAUCCCAACCCAAACACCACAUGUGACUGAGCAGCCACUGGGUCCCAGUUGAGCUCCAAGCCUCAGAGGACCACAGCCAUUCCAGCAACCAGCUGAUACCACACAGAAACAGAAGCGCCUGAUCAACCUAUUCAAUCACAAGCGUUCUUCGCAUCGUGGGGACUCAAAUGUGAGCUGUGAGAAAAUCAGAGCUGUCCAAUCCUUCAACCCCCGAGUCACACAGCACCACAAGGAGUCCUCUGGAAGGCUAGCAGCAGUGAGAGUGGCCUGAAGAGAACAAAAAGACCAGCCUCCCCAAAUAAGAAUUCUCCAGCCGUCUGCCUAUGGACUCCAUCUGCACCAUUGGCUCUCCUGGGUCUCUGUCUGCUGGCCUUUGGACUGGAACUGCACCACCAGCUCUCCUGGGUCUCAAGUCUAUCAACCCACAUUGUGGACUUGGACUUGCUAGCCUCCAUAAAUACAUAUGCCAAAUCUUUAUAAUACAGAGUGUAUACACACAAUCAAUUGGUCCUGCGUCUCUGGAGAAUACUGACUGAUACAGGAGGUCCCACGGUUUAACAGUUACACAGGAAGAGUGAUUCAAUGAGAGCAAGUGGUCUCUCCUGACUAGGGCAUGCCUCACCUCUCUCCCUACCAUGAUGUUCUCCAGCAACCAUGCUGUUUGGGGAUGCAUGAAUAUGCCUGGAAUGGAUACAGCUAGACACGCCUUAUUUUUAUUAGAUUCCUAAGAAGAGAAAUGAGUCCUGAAAGCAGUGCAUACUCUGUUCAAAGCUUUAAAACACAAAUAUGAUAUAAAAGUCACGUAAUUAAAUCUUCACCAACAUU